CCUACGGGAGGCAGCAGUCGAGAAUUUUUCACAAUGGACGAAAGUCUGAUGGAGCGACGCCGCGUGGAGGAUGAAGGUUUUCGGAUUGUAAACUCCUGUCACUGCAGAACAAGGUUAUGUUUGUUAAUAGCAGAUGUAAUUGAUGGUAUGCGGAGAGGAAGGGACGGCUAACUCUGUGCCAGCAGCCGCGGUAAU
rnacentral:rRNA from 1 species